AGUGAAGGGUAGAGGUUGCUGCACAGGACUCAUAAGCCUGGGGUCGGCGGUUCGAAUCCGCCCCUCGCUACCA
rnacentral:tRNA from 1 species